AGCAGCUCAUGACUCAACUUCAAACAAAAUUGAAACCCUAAUCCUCUUCACUGUUACGGAGCCGCUCCCCCCAUCGCGACACCAAAUCGAUCAAAGGGAAACCAUUUUUUACUCUCCAAUUCAAGAGAUUCCUUUUCAGUCGGGAAGGAGAUAGUGACAUCGAAGGUGGCGGUGGUGGUGGAGCUGACGCCUUUCAUUCUCCGAUUGGCUGUAAGUAUCGUUCCGUGCUGGCUAACGAUCGUGCUCUACUUGAGAUGUCUUCCAUAGAUCCACUAUCUUCUUCUUCCUCAACAUUUCCAGAUCAACCUCAUAAUCUCAGCUCUGUGCUGUGUUGCAAUUGUAUUGGAUCAACUAUUCGUUCCUGUUUGGUAUCAGACAUGGAACUGAGUUGGAUCAUAGAGAAGUAUUCCUUCUCACAACUGGCCAUGCAGUGAUUGCAGUUCUAGGUUUCUUGGUAAAUUGCAGCUUGAGUUUUCUUUUUGUAAGUUCAAUCUUUUUGGAAUAUUUGGGGUGUUAGUAAUGGAACUGAUUCAAUACUGUGUAAGUUCAAUCUUUUUGUAAAAAAACAUUUGAGGUGUUAGUAAUGGAACUGAUUCAAUAAGUACACUUGGCUUUCUUACCUUCAAAUUUUCUCUAGGUUGAUGUGAAUGGUGGAACAAACAUGACCGGCGAAUUGCUACUCUUGAGUUUGACUGUGACAGGAAGUCAAUGGGUGUUAUUGUUGACACUGGUGUGGGGAAAAACUUGAUGUUGGUUAAGGUAUUCUCUCUUUCUAGUACAACAUAUAAGAUAGCUUUUUUUCUUUAAUGGUGAAUCUUCUACCCAUUUUUAUUUGAGUAAGGUCUUUUUAUUGUUCUUCUGGAAUAAGCUUAAUGGAUUCUUCUGUAUUGACAAGUUUAUUGCUGAACAUCAAGUUGAUGAAAUUGUAAUUGAUUUUUGGCAAUGAUUUCUUGAAUCCAGAUUUUAUUGAUAAUUUUAUUGCUGUUCAACUUGGAUUCAUUUCUUGAAUCCAGAUUUGCAGAAGCAACUAUGUAUAUGGCAUCAAAGCUGAAUUUAGAUGGAAUAUCAACAUGAAUCUCAACCACGUGUUUUCUUUUGAGCAACUCACCACAUGAACUCUUUAUCUCUCCACUGGGAAUUUGCAAAAAGAUUUGCUGGCCAAUCCAAGCGCUCAUUCUUUUGAUGAGCUAGCUUUGCUGUUGCAUCAAGAAUUGAAUAGUUCACCUCGUGUACCCCGGGUACCCCGUGCACGCCAGCUUGCCACAGCUAACUUCUACUAGUGCUACAAACAUGCUAAUGAAGCGAGCAUCGGUUGGAGGAAAGGAUAACUAUUUGGCUUAAUCAAUGAUAUAAUGAGCAAGGGCAGGCACAUAACAGAGAGCGAUAGAACCGGAGAACUUUGUAGCAGAUUUUAUAGUAACUUGUUCUAUAAAUUUGUAUUAUAAUUCAAAAUAUUUUAAAUUAUAAUUUUAUUUUUAUAUUAUGGUUACAUAGUCACAUUAUAAAAAUAUUUUAGAUUUUUAUAAUGUUUCAAAAGUUAAUAAAUUUUUUUU